ACGCACCCCGGCGCGCCUUCGACGUCGACGAUGGCCGAACACACUGGCAGUGCGUUCCCGAGACCCGGUGUGCUAAAUUAAGCACCAUGCAUCGGUCAAACGAAGCUCGGACCGUAGUCUACUCGUGACUCGGGGCGGCACCACCCGCCGUUCGUCCAAGGCCUUUGCUUAGCGUCGUAGACUAGCGCCUCUGGCUGACUGUCUCCAUGUGUGUUUGUGUGUCCGUACAAUGUCGUGUUGGACGUCGGGACCACGCCUCCGCUGGUGCGCGCGGGCGGGUGAUUCUGAGUCCUCGCGCGAGUAGGUAGACGGAUGUGUAGUUGCAGGAGUGAGCUGCGCGUGCUGCUGGCUUGAGUUGGUCGAUGUGGAGGAGUGUAGAGUUGUCCUCAAUGGUGCGGCAAUCGUGGCAUGCGGGUUGUUUCCCGCUUCAUUCUUCCCGCUUAAUUAUUGUUGCUGUUUUUUUGUAAUUGGCGGAGUGAUCUGGGGCGUGUUGUUGAGUGCUGGGGCGGAAAGUUUGUUGAUAGGGUUAGGAUUGUGAAGGAGGGCUGGGGAGUGGAGUGAAGAGCUUUCGUUGAGGUUGGGGUGGUGAAAAUGGAAGACCAGCCGCAGUCAAAGCGGAGGAGGAGACCGAGUGUGAGGUUAGGGGAAAUUGGAUUCGCAGCACCUUACAAUGCCUCGGCGCUGUGGACGGAAGCACCGAAGCACCGCAAGAAGCAAGCAGGAGCGGGGACGUCGUCAUCGGCAGAAAGGGGGCUGAGUGCUGGAAAGGCGAUUAAUGGCGUGAAGCCGCCUCGUAUUCGGCCUUUGGAGCAUGUUGCGGGCGACAAAGCGGCAAUAGAGGAAGAGUGGAGCGUAGUCGAGCCCGCGGCAGCGUCGGCGGAUGAAGCGAAGGUGGCGCAGACGGUCACUGGAGAUGGUGCGGCCCCUGUGAGCACGCUCAUCGAGGAGCAGCAGGCAAAGCGGCGAAGGGGGUUCGUAUCGAAGGCUAACGGUAAAGUUCGAGGGAAGGGGCCUGGAGGAGCUCGGUCGGGAUGGGCAUCGACAGGGAAGCAGGAUGAAGCUACCAUAUCCGAGCUUCCAGUGGACACAGAUUUGCUCGAAACCAGGGAGGGCGAGGAGAAAGAAAAGGAGAGUCUUCCUUUACAAGCAGACGACGAAGCGCCAUUUUUGGCCGAAAUCUCAUCAGGUUCCGAGGAGCUAAUGGGAAGUGAACUGAAAGGAAACGAGGAGCUGCCAGCUGAUGAUUCUGGAAAUGGAGCUUCUGAUGGCAGCGAGGAACACGAUACUCACGCUAACCCUAAUAGUCAUGGCGAUGAAAUGCAAGGCGCAAUCGAAGACGGUCCAGGACAAGCAAACGGAAAUGGCUUUAUUACAGUGAAGCAGCGUGGAGGAGAGCGAAGAUCAGGCAGGCAAACUGCAAGAGGAGUCAUCGCCUGUAGAGACAUUGUAAGUAGAGACACCGUGAGCAGAGACACUUCAGGAGAGCCCAGUGGACGCUUUCAAGCAGCAACAGCUGCACCAAACGGAACCACCAUCAUUACUCCGAGCUCCAGCCAAAGAGUUUCGCUCUCCUCGGGCGUUAGUGGAUGGUUGCAAGAGUUUGGCCUGAGCAAAUACGCCGAAUUGUUUGAGCUCAACGAAGUCGAUACUGAAGUGCUCCCCCUUUUGACCAUGGACGACCUGCGAGAAAUGGGAGUAGACGCUGUGGGUGCUCGGCGUAAGAUGUUCACUGCUAUUCAAGAGCUAGGGCAACUUCGAGGCAUUUAAUUGAGGAAUUUAGGAAGGUUUCAUCUUUUCUCUAAAAGUGUGCACUAGGCAGAGCAGAGGACAGGGCGAGCUAUGUUAUGAAGGUUUCAGGAAUCAGCUUUGGGCAUUGCAGCAUGGAUAUACAAUUUGACUGCUUUGGAGGACUGGAUGCACACUGAGAUGCAUUGAAUUGGGCUCGGAGACAAAGAAUCAACUGUACACUCCACCAGUUAAUUAUGUCCAUGAUUGCCUAUUCUAUUGAA